rnacentral:rRNA from 1 species
GUGAGGAAUAUUGGUCAAUGGGCGGGAGCCUGAACCAGCCAAGUCGAGUGAAGGAAGAAGGAUCUAUGGUUCGUAAACUUCUUUUGCAGGGGAAUAAAGUGCAGGACGUGUCCUGUUUUGUAUGUACCCUGAGAAUAAGGAUCGGCUAACUCCGUGCCAGCAGCCGCGGUAAUACGGAGGAUCCGAGCGUUAUCCGGAUUUAUUGGGUUUAAAGGGUGCGUAGGUGGUUUGAUAAGUCAGCGGUGAAAGUUUGCAGCUUAACUGUAAAAAUGCCGUUGAAACUGUCGGACUUGAGUGUAAAUGAGGUAGGCGGAAUGCGUGGUGUAGCGGUGAAAUGCAUAGAUAUCACGCAGAACUCCGAUUGCGAAGGCAGCUUACUAAGCUACAACUGACACUGAAGCACGAAAGCGUGGGGAUCAAACAGGAUUAGAUACCCGGGUAGUCC